AUACGUAGGUGACAAGCGUUAUCCGGAUUUACUGGGCGUAAAGGGCGUGUAGGCGGUCUUGCAAGUCAGAAGUGAAAUUCCUGAGCUCAACUCGGGCGCUGCUUCUGAAACUGCAGGACUUGAGUGCUGGAGGGGAUAGCGGAAUUCCUAGUGGAGCGGUAAAAUGCGCAGAUAUUAGGAAGAACACCGGUGGCGAAGGCGGCUAUCUGGACAGUAACUGACGCUGAGGCGCGAAAGCGUGGGGAGCAAACAGGAUUAGAUCCCCUGGUAGUCCACGCCGUAAACGAUGAAUACUAGGUGUAGGGGGUAUCGACUCCCUCUGUGCCGCAGUUAACACAAUAAGUAUUCCGCCUGGGGAGUUGCCGCAAGGUUGAAACUCAAAUGAAUUGACGGGG
rnacentral:rRNA from 1 species